rnacentral:misc_RNA from 1 species
UUCACACAUCCGAUCAUCGUUCAUCAU